ensembl:ncRNA K07A1.18 ncRNA
UCUUACAGUUUUGUUGUUGAUUGGCAGCUGUUGCAGCUGCAAGUAAAGUCGGUUUCAAAAGCAUCAGCUGAGAAUCGUAGUUGUCGUCGUCGGGUUCUGGUCUUUCGAACACAACAACAUGCCUCCCCCAGU